ACGUACACUCCUGCGGGAGGCAGCAGUGGGGAAUAUUGGACAAUGGGCGCAAGCCUGAUCCAGCCAUGCCGCGUGAGUGAUGAAGGCCCUAGGGUUGUAAAGCUCUUUCACCGGUGAAGAUAAUGACGGUAACCGGAGAAGAAGCCCCGGCUAACUUCGUGCCAGCAGCCGCGGUAAUACGAAGGGGGCUAGCGUUGUUCGGAUUUACUGGGCGUAAAGCGCACGUAGGCGGACUAUUAAGUCAGGGGUGAAAUCCCGGGGCUCAACCCCGGAACUGCCUUUGAUACUGGUAGUCUUGAGUUCGAGAGAGGUGAGUGGAAUUCCGAGUGUAGAGGUGAAAUUCGUAGAUAUUCGGGGGAACACCAGUGGCGAAGGCGGCUCACUGGCUCGAUACUGACGCUGAGGUGCGAAAGCGUGGGGAGCAAACAGGAUUAGAAACCCUUGUAGUCCCAUGAU
rnacentral:rRNA from 1 species